GGGUGAGUAACACGUGGGUAACCUGCCCAUCAGAAGGGGAUAACACUUGGAAACAGGUGCUAAUACCGUAUAACAAUCGAAACCGCAUGGUUUUGAUUUGAAAGGCGCUUUCGGGUGUCGCUGAUGGAUGGACCCGCGGUGCAUUAGCUAGUUGGUGAGGUAACGGCUCACCAAGGCCACGAUGCAUAGCCGACCUGAGAGGGUGAUCGGCCACAUUGGGACUGAGACACGGCCCAAACUCCUACGGGAGGCAGCAGUAGGGAAUCUUCGGCAAUGGACGAAAGUCUGACCGAGCAACGCCGCGUGAGUGAAGAAGGUUUUCGGAUCGUAAAACUCUGUUGUUAGAGAAGAACAAGGAUGAGAGUAACUGUUCAUCCCUUGACGGUAUCUAACCAGAAAGCCACGGCUAACUACGUGCCAGCAGCCGCGGUAAUACGUAGGUGGCAAGCGUUGUCCGGAUUUAUUGGGCGUAAAGCGAGCGCAGGCGGUUUCUUAAGUCUGAUGUGAAAGCCCCCGGCUCAACCGGGGAGGGUCAUUGGAAACUGGGAGACUUGAGUGCAGAAGAGGAGAGUGGAAUUCCAUGUGUAGCGGUGAAAUGCGUAGAUAUAUGGAGGAACACCAGUGGCGAAGGCGGCUCUCUGGUCUGUAACUGACGCUGAGGCUCGAAAGCGUGGGGAGCAAACAGGAUUAGAUACCCUGGUAGUCCACGCCGUAAACGAUGAGUGCUAAGUGUUGGAGGGUUUCCGCCCUUCAGUGCUGCAGCUAACGCAUUAAGCACUCCGCCUGGGGAGUACGACCGCAAGGUUGAAACUCAAAGGAAUUGACGGGGGCCCGCACAAGCGGUGGAGCAUGUGGUUUAAUUCGAAGCAACGCGAAGAACCUUACCAGGUCUUGACAUCCUUUGACCACUCUAGAGAUAGAGCUUCCCCUUCGGGGGCAAAGUGACAGGUGGUGCAUGGUUGUCGUCAGCUCGUGUCGUGAGAUGUUGGGUUAAGUCCCGCAACGAGCGCAACCCUUAUUGUUAGUUGCCAUCAUUUAGUUGGGCACUCUAGCAAGACUGCCGGUGACAAACCGGAGGAAGGUGGGGAUGACGUCAAAUCAUCAUGCCCCUUAUGACCUGGGCUACACACGUGCUACAAUGGGAAGUACAACGAGUCGCGAAGUCGCGAGGCUAAGCUAAUCUCUUAAAGCUUCUCUCAGUUCGGAUUGUAGGCUGCAACUCGCCUACAUGAAGCCGGAAUCGCUAGUAAUCGCGGAUCAGCACGCCGCGGUGAAUACGUUCCCGGGCCUUGUACACAC
rnacentral:rRNA from 1 species